GACGAACGCUGGCGGCGUGCUUAACACAUGCAAGUCGAACGGAAAGGCCCUGCUUUUGUGGGGUGCUCGAGUGGCGAACGGGUGAGUAACACGUGAGUAACCUGCCCUUGACUUUGGGAUAACUUCUGGAAACUGGGGCUAAUACCGGAUAGGAGCUCCUGCUGCAUGGUGGGGGUUGGAAAGUUUCGGCGGUUGGGGAUGGACUCGCGGCUUAUCAGCUUGUUGGUGGGGUAGUGGCUUACCAAGGCUUUGACGGGUAGCCGGCCUGAGAGGGUGACCGGCCACAUUGGGACUGAGAUACGGCCCAGACUCCUACGGGAGGCAGCAGUGGGGAAUAUUGCACAAUGGGCGGAAGCCUGAUGCAGCAACGCCGCGGGCGGGAUGACGGCCUUCGGGUUGUAAACCGCUUGCGCCUGUGACGAAGCGUGAGUGACGGUAAUGGGUAAAGAAGCACCGGCUAACUACGUG
rnacentral:rRNA from 1 species